ACGGCUCAGUAACACGUGGCUAACCUGCCCUUGGGACGGGGACAACCCCGGGAAACUGGGGUUAAUCCCAGAUAGGUGAGAACUCCUGGAAUGGACUUUCAUCGAAAAGGUGUUGAAGCAUGCUUUCAACGGCGUCCGAGGAUGGGACCGCGGCCGAUCAGGUUGUUGGUGAGGUAACGGCUCACCAAGCCUUUAACCGGUACGGGCCGUGAGAGCGGGAGCCCGGAGAUGGAAUCUGAGACAAAAUUCCAGGCCCUACGGGGCGCAGCAGUCGCGAAAACUCCGCAAUACGCGAAAGCGUGACGGGGCCAACCCGAGUGCCGUCCGCUGAGGAUGGCUUUUCCCCAGUGUAAUGAGCUGGAGGCAAUAAAAGGAGGGCAAGGAUGGUGUCAGCCGCCGCGGUAAAACCAACUCCUUGAGUGGUGAGGAUUAUUAUUGGGCUUAAAGCGUUCGUAGCUGGCCUGACUAGUCCCGCGUUAAAUCCAACGACCUAAUCGUUGGGCUGCGGGGGACACGGUCAGGCUUGGGGGCGGGAGAGGUUAGCGGUAUUCCCGGGGUAGGGGUAAAAUCUUAUAAUCCCGGGAGGACCACCAGUGGCGAAGGCUGCUAACCAGAACGCGCCCGACGGUGAGGGACGAAAGCUGGGGGAGCGAACCGGAUUAGAUACCCGGGUAGUCCCAGCCGUAAACGAUGCAGGCUAGCUGUUGGGAUGGCCACGAGCCAUUUCAGUGGCGCAGGGAAGCCGUUAAGCCUGCCGCCUGGGAAGUAAGAUCGCAAGAUUGAAACUUAAAGGAAUUGGCGGGGGAG
rnacentral:rRNA from 1 species